UGGCUGCAUUGUGGCGUCGGACAAAAGCCUUACUCAAAAGUAUCAAAUCCAUAUUGUCAGCGCCGUUAAGACUCAAUAGUCAUUGGAAAUUGGAACGGAUUUCGGUUGUCAGCUUAAAUCAAUCGUGUAUCUUCUUAUAGUUUUAGAGGCGGAAUGAUUUAAUUAUUGUAGAGCGCUUAGGGAAAUUCCAAUGUUAUUGGUUGUGUCUCCAUUUGGACCCCGCAUCUUUAAUCGGUUUACAGCAUUCUCAAAGCCCAGAUCAAUGGGCAGAGUAUAUAUACCCACGUUUUUAUUGAGAAACUGUCGACAUUCGAAAAGUCACGGCCUUUAUGCUUGGCCAGCUUAAGCGUGUUUUCUAUUGUUUACCUAAAUUUGUUUAAACUUACACUUACUCUGGGGAACGGAAUGCUGAUCUUAUAGAAAUAAUUCUUAAAUAUUGUUUGCAGAACUUGUAUAAAAUUAUAGGUGUCUGCCUGAAGUCUCACCUGAACGAUGAUGUUUUCCAAACCUGAGCGAAAUCCACAAUUAUGCUAAUUUCAGCAGACACACUUAACAUAAGAACAUGUGUUUCGAGCAUUUAGCACAUUGCCUUUUUACCUUUGCGCACUACCAUGAUAUCUGACCGAAGAUUCUCGGCCUGAUCCCAGAAAGAGCUGAGCUGGCAAACAAAUAAAAUGAUAAUAACAUGUUAUUAUGCAGACAACGAUCACACUGGAAAGUAAAACAAUGAUGGGACUAAAACAGAGUGCAGCAGACGGUUGUUCGGACUUUUUCCAGUCGAUAGGUGAUGUGCAGCUUUCGCGAAGAAGUAAAACCCACAUUUCCGUAUUUAACCAUGUGGAACUGCGAUCCCAAAACAUGUCCAGGUCUCUCAACCAAAGACAGUUCAUUGUUUUUCGAAAUUAAAUUUGCCAACAUCUCUCAAUCAAACGUGGAUGUGUAUGUUUUGCACCGAAAGGAAGAGUGAUAAAUAAAUUGGCCAACCAAAUUGCACGAAUAACUAAUUUUAGGUCGGCAAAAACAAUUAGCUUGAACUGUUGAGAUGAUUUAUUCCUUUCGGAGGCGCAUAACUACAAAGUAGUUUUUAUCAGGAAAUCCCAUUUGUUUUACACAACGGGGGAACGAGUAUGUCACCUUUGCGGCAUGGUAAUUAUAAUGCACUCUUUCAACAAUUAUUUCGUUAAUGCUGUCACAAAUAUUGUGACACGUGGCCAUAUCCCAACACUUCAGCGGCCUUCCCUUUGAUUUAAACUGUAUUUUUGCAGCAAAUUAAGAGAUCAAAGCGUUUCCUGACAUAUGCAAGCCGACUCUUAUUUACCUCAGAUACAUUCACACAUCUGUAGCUAAAGUGUGUUCUAUAUACACAAAAUAUGAAAUGCACACU